AUGGCGACCGGCGCACGGGUGAGUAACACGUAUCCAGCCUGCCGAUAACUCGGGGAUAGCCUUUCGAAAGAAAGAUUAAUACCCGAUGGCAUAAUUAGACCGCAUGGUCUUAUUAUUAAAGAAUUUCGGUUAUCGAUGGGGAUGCGUUCCAUUAGGCAGUUAGUGAGGUAACGGCUCACCAAACCUUCGAUGGAUAGGGGUUCUGAGAGGAAGGUCCCCCACAUUGGAACUGAGACACGGUCCAA
rnacentral:rRNA from 1 species